rnacentral:lncRNA from 1 species
GGCUGGGUCGGGCUGCCCGGGCGACGCCGGAGUUGCAGUUGGAGGCUGCGGGAAUACAAAGGGUCUUGCUCUGUCACCCAGGCUGGAGUUCAGUGGCCCAUCCAUAGCUCACUGCAGCCUCGACCUCCUGGGCUUCAAAGUGAUCCUCCUGCCUCAGCCUGCCAAGCAGCUAGGACUCUUUGCAGAUGGUAUUAAGAAACAGGGCAUCUGUGUCUCCCUGUGGAAAAACCCAGGCUCUUCUGGAACUGUGGGCUCCUUGUGUUGCUGUCAUGUAAUCAAGAAGCUAGAGGUAGCAGAACCCAAUCCUUACACCCAAAACACUAGCCAAGGGCAUCUUUCUCUCUUGCAUCUAGCUAUGACUCCAAAAGAGAAGAGCAAAUGGUCGCUACAUGCAAAACAAGUUGCCAACCACCAUAGGUUUUGUCUUUCAAAUUAUCAAAUAUAUGUAUACAUACUGAGACAGAGUUUCACUCUUGUUGCCCAGGCUACAGUGCAAUGGUGUGAUUUCAGCUCACUGCAACCUCCACCUCCCAGGUUCAAGCGAUUCUCAUGCCUCAGCCUCCCGAGUAGCUGGGAUUACAGGUGCCCACCACCAUGCAUGGCUAAUUUUUGCAUUUUCAGUAGAGAUGGGGUUUCACCAUGUUAGUCAAGCUGGUCUCGAACUCCUGACUUCAGGUGAUCCACCCAAAAGUGCUGGGAUUACAGGCGUGAGCCACCGCACCCAGCCAAAUUAUCAAAUAUUUUUUAAAAGUGUUAUAUCCAGUUUUCGCAGGGCUACAAUGAGAGAUAUUCUCAUAUACAGUUUGGUGGGAUGUGUGGAGGAAAGAUGGUAAGAAAUAUUUUUGCAUAUUUAUGUGGUAGAAUAUUGUAUGUCCAUUGAAUAUAAAAUUAUAGAAGAAUAUUUAAUGUAAUGGGAAAUAUUCAUGUGAAAUGAAAAAGCAGAUUAUAAAAUAGCAUCUCUAGUAUAUUUUUGUUAAAAUUAUAAAAAUUGUCAGUAAUAUAUAGAUGGAUUCUACACAUUUAUAACAGUUUUAGUAUCAGGUGGUUUUUAAAUUUUAUUUGUGUUUUUGUAUUUUCCAAAUUUUCUACAAUGACUAUGGUAUUUUUUUUAAGAGAUGGAGUCUCACUCUGAUGCCCAGGCUGAAGUGUAAUGGUAUGAUCAUGGCUUACUGUCGCCUCAAAUUCCCAGGCUCAAGUGAUCCUUCCACCUCAGCCUCUUGAGUAGCUGGGCCUACAGGCACAUGCCAUUACCCUUGGCAAUUUUAUUUUUGGUAGAGACAGAGUUUUGCCGUGUUGCCCAGGCUGGUCUCAAACUCCUGAGCUCAAGUGAUACUCCUGCCUUGGCCUCCCAAAGUGCUAGGAGUAUAGGCAUGAGCCACCACACUUGGUCUAGUAUUGCUUUUGAUUUCACACUAAAAAACAUAACAAGAGAGCAUGCUUGACUUCUGGCAAACCCUAAUCCCAGGAGAAUAUUCUACUUGUAUGCUUUCUUUUAUAUAAAUAAAUGCUGUCCUGGUUGCAUUUAGAAUCCAUACAUUCAUUCAUUCAUUUGUUCAUUAAUUCAGCAAAUAUUAGUUUAGCUCUUACUUUGUACCGGAACAUCCCUAAAUGCUGGGAAUAGUGAGGGAAACAAGGUAAAGUCCUUGCUCUUUUGGAGCUGGUGUUUUAGUUAGGGAAGGCAGUCAACAAACAGGAAGACAAACAAGUGAGACAGUGUUUGAUAGUGUCAGGUGUUCUGAAGAAAAUAAAACAGGGUGAUAGCAUGAGAGGGAGCAAACAGGUAGAUUGGAGGAAUUACUCAGAAUUAGGCACUGAGGGAAGACCUUCCAAGGAGCUGAAAUUUGAGCUAAAACUUAAAGAAAAGAAACAGCCAUACAAAGACCAGAGAGAAGACCCUCCUGGGUGGGGGAAACAGCUCUUGCAAAGGUCCUUGAGAUUGCCAUGAGCUCAGCCUAUUCAAGGGAGAACGGGAAACAGUCUGAGGGGUGGGCAGGAGGCAAAGCAAGAAGGGCUUCAUAGGCCAGAGGAAGGAGCUGAGAUUUUAACAUAAGUAGAUCUGAGCUCCACUUACCAAAAUAAUCCCCUGGCUACUGUAUGGAAAAUAUGGAUGAGAGGAUGGGGAUAGGAGUGGAAGCAGAGAACCCCUCAGGCGAUAACUGCACAUCCAGUAGACAGAGAUGAGGGGCUGCACAUGGCUUGGGUGGCCAUGGAAAUACAUUUGGGUUAUACUGAAAAGGUUAGGAUUUUACAGAUGAAUUUGACAAUUCAAUAUCUUAUGACCACUGGGCAAUGGGAGAAGUUUGACGGGAAAGGCAAGCAUUUACAAGUCUGACUCUACUAAGAGCCUGUUCUGGAAAGAGAACAUGGCCCCAGGGGACAUAAGACAUGAAGGAUGACCCACGUGGACUGUCAAUCAGCAAGCAGGGGCACGUCCCCAGCCACAGGGUCAGAGUCAGAAGCCCGGUCUAGCCCCAGAGACAAGGGCUGUCAAGGUCCUGAGGGAGCAGAGUGCUGGGGGUCAGGGCGGGGACCAGGGCAGGGACUCAGGAAAGGGAAGGUGGGCAUGAGAGCCAGAGAGCAGGACAGAGCAACAGAGAGAGCAAACUAAGGGCCCAUCCAAAGGGCUGGGCUUGGGCUUCUCAGUUCCCUCCCCAGUAAGGGUACAAUUGGUCCUAGAGCUGGGGUGGGGCCAAGCCUGUAUUUAGGGGCCAAUUUGUUCAGCUAGGCCAAGGUGCUAGGCAGGUACUGAGAAGACCACAGAUCACAAGGGAUGCUCUAUUUUUUAAAUAUGGAUAACCCUUUCCUUAAUAACAAAAUUUCCAGCCUAUGUUCCGAUUAUCAAGUGAGUCAUUCUGAAAACCCUGUUUAUUUCUCUUUCACCCAAAGCAUCUGCCCAUUAUCACAUUUCUAAUGUUGAAGUGGAGAUAUGAGGAUUUUGAAAGUUCCCAAUUGGAUGCCUCUAAAGGAAGUGAGGGCUCUUUCAAGUAAGAAAAACUCAUUUUAUAUUACCUUUUAAGCUAGCUGUUAUUAAUUUUCAAUUUUAUGCUAGAAAUUUGCAACUCACAAAAAGAAAGGAAAAAAGUUAAACCCUGAUUUUAAAUAUCAUUGUUCCCCAUUUUUCAUGUCUCAGUUACCACAUUUAAAAAGAAGAUGGCACCAUUUGUCCAAGGAAUCUCAUUACUGGGUAUAUGCCCAAAGGAAUAUAAAUCAUUCUAUUAUAAAGAUACAAGCAAGUGUGUGUUCAUUGCGGCACUAUUCACAAUAGCAAAAAAUCAACCCAAAUCCCCAUCAAUGAGAGACUGGAUUAAAAAAAGUGGUACAUAUAUACCAUGGAAUACUAUGCAGCCAUAAAAAAGAACAAGAUCAUGUCCUUUGGAGGGACAUGGAGGGAGCUGGAAGCCAUUAGCUUCAGAAAACUAACACGGGAACAGAAAACCACACACCAAAUGUUCUCACUUGUAAGUGGGAGUUGAACAAUGAGAACACAUGGACACAGAGAGGGGAACAACACACACUGGGGCCUGUCAGCAGGGGGUCGGGGGAGGGAGAGCGUCAGGAUAAAUAGCUAAUGUAUGUAGGGCUUAAUACCUAGGUGAGGUAAUAAGAUGAUAGGUGCAGCAAACCACCAUGGCACACGUCUACCUAUGUAACAAACAUGCACGUUCUGUACAUGUAUCCUGGAACUUAAAAUUUUCUAAAAAAGUAAAAUAAAACUGUCUUUCAUAGAAUAAAAAGCAAGAAAGAAGAUGGCUAUACCUUUUGCUUUCAAAAGCAAUGACCAAUGAUCUAAAACCAUGUAAAUAAGAGCAGUAGCAAUCUGGAGAAAGAAUUAUUAAAGAACAAUCAGAGUGGAGAAGAAACUCAGAAAUAAUCUCAUCAUGUGUUACAGAAGAGAAAAUAAGAUCUAGGUCAUAUCAAUGUCCAGCACGUGCCAGAUAAGAAGUAAAUGUUAAUCAAGUGAACAAAUGAAUGAACAAAGCUUGGCCCUCUCAUUCUCUGUCCAAUGCUCUUCCCGCCACCAGAGAAUCCCCACUAAUAUUGUAUUCGGUGUCCACUCAAGUGCAGUCCAGCACCUGUGUAUAUUGGAGACUUAGGGGUCACCAUACGAUGCUUAAAUGAGAGUGACACAGCACCUACCCAAUAGCUUGGCAAAAGCCCUGACUGUGUUUGGGUGACUCACCCUGGUUUACCAGAGUGAUAGACCAAAAGCAUGUAAAAUGGCAUGUCACCACCAUAACUAGAGCAGACAGUUCUCACAUCUAUUUUGGAAUCUAGGGCUUUGGCAUGAACAGAGAUUUCAGAGUUUCAAAAACAUAUCACCCCCGCCCCUUUUCGUUUUGGUAGACUCAUCUUCAAGAUCUAGAGCAGCUGUUUCCA